rnacentral:rRNA from 1 species
AUUGAACGCUGGCGGAAUGCUUUACACAUGCAAGUCGAGCGGCAGCGCGGGGGCAACCCUGGCGGCGAGCGGCGAACGGGUGAGUAACGCAUCGGAACGUACCUUGUAGUGGGGGAUAACUAUCCGAAAGGAUAGCUAAUACCGCAUACGCCCUGAGGGGGAAAGGGGGGGAUCGCAAGACCUCUCGCUACAGGAGCGGCCGAUGUCCGAUUAACUAGUUGGUGAGGUAAAGGCUCACCAAGGCGACGAUCGGUAGCUGGUCUGAGAGGAUGAUCAGCCACACUGGGACUGAGACACGGCCCAGACUCCUACGGGAGGCAGCAGUGGGAAUUUGGACAAUGGGGGCAACCCUGAUCCAGCCAUUCCGCGUGAGUGAAGAAGGCCUCGGGUUG